rnacentral:misc_RNA from 1 species
AGCAGCCGCGGUAAUUCCAGCUCCAAUAGCGUAUAUUAAAGUUGUUACAGUUAAAAAGCUCGUAGUUGAAUUUCGAGAUCAAUUUUCUUGGUCAUACCUUUGUAUGUACUGGUCUUAUUGAUUUCUCCCUUCUGAUGAACCAUGAUGUCAUUAAUUUGGUGUUAUGGGGAAUCAGGUCUAUUACUUUGAAAAAUUAGAGUGUUUAAAGCAGGCUCACGCUUGAAUACAUUAGCAUGGAAUAAUGAAAUAGGACGUUUGAUUCUAUUUUGUUGGUUUCUAGGAUUGACGUAAUGAUUAAUAGGGAUAGUUGGGGGCAUUAGUAUUCAAUUGUCAGAGGUGAAAUUCUUGGAUUUAUUGAAGACUAACUACUGCGAAAGCAUUUGCCAAAGAUGUUUUCAUUAAUCAAGAACGAAAGUUAGGGGAUGGAAGACGAUCAGAUACCGUCGUAGUCUUAACCAUAAACUAUGUACCACGUAGGGAUCGGAUGAUGUUUAAUUUUUAAUGUACUCUAUUCGGCGUA